CAGUGGGUGGAGCAAAACCCACGGAGCCUUCCUCUCCCUGCCCUUUUCCUCCUCCUAUGGGGAGCUCUUGUGACUGAGGGCGAAGGGUGGAAGGCGCGGCUGGAGGAUUAGCUCUCCCUGGAGGGGAGAAAAGGGUGCCUUCUGGGCUCUGCUGGUCAAUGAUGCUUGCCCAAGUUUAGGAAGGAUAUCGGGCUCUUCUGAUGACCCGAUUUCGUACCUUCCCAGACUCAAAAGGCUGGACGAUACUUUGUCUACUUCUGGUUCUAGGUAAAAGAAUUAGAGGCUUUGGCAUUGCAACAUCCACAUCCAGUUUUUGCAGAGAGCCCAACAUUUGAUGCCUUCUAGAAUAAAGAAUUACCUUCAAAAGUGACCUUUGGAACUCAGCACAGUGGGAGAUGAGGCAAGACCUCUGGCAGUCACAAAACAUUUGGAUGUGAACUUGGUAAGACCCAUGCUAUGCAGAAACUAAGCUAAGCUUGAGCCCACACUACUCAGAAACCAAGGUCCUUGACCUCCCUAAGGAUGCAAUCCAGGCUCUGGUUCUAGAGAAAUGAAGUCUCUGACUCCUUCCUUGACUAUACCUGAAAUACUUGUUUUGGUUCCAUCAGACAUCAGUAUAGAAAGAUGCUGAAAGUUGGCCUAUGUAACAGCUUCCUCUUUUAAUUGUCUAAAUCUGUACCCUUCUAGCGUUUCAGUGAGAAAAAAGAAUUGUGAUUAAAAGCCAUUCUACCAUACUCCUAGUCUAUUCACUCAAUUGAUCACUGAAUACAGUAAGCCAUCUAAAGUGUUUGCUAAGAAAGGUAUUACCCUUUGAUGCUUUGCUCUUGCUUCACUCACAGUUUAGUCAAAAGAAUGUGCUAAAAAUAAUCCCUGGGUCUCAGUUUCCUUAUUCACAUAAUUGGGGUGCUUUAAAAGGCCCCUUCCAGCUCUGACAAUCCUGUGAUUUUUACCCUCUGGCACUGUAACCCAUGGGAUUGGGGAGAAAUUAAAUCAGGUAAAAUUCACAAGCCUGUACUUUAAUUCAAUUGUUUAUGCAAAGUAUCUUCUGCUUAAGGCUAAACGUUAAAUUUCCUCUGAUAAUCCAUCUACUAAACCUUCGUUCUGAAGCCUACCACCCUGGGACAGCUGAACUACUUUCAGAAAAAUGU